GAGCUUGUUUUGUAGCUUAACUGAUUCCAGAGUUGUUAUUUUCAGGUAGGUUCAGAGUGGUGAGACUGUACAGUUGUCUGAACUUCCGGCCACCGUGGUUUAUGCUUACCAUGUUGCUACUCUUGUUUUUCAGGAUCCUCAUCUUGGAGCAUUUCAUCUUGUGGCCCUCGGUGUUGAAGAAGAAUGGGAAAGCGCAACUCGAACAAUGUCAAGAAGAGCAUCUGGCAGCUCCUCUGCGGCUGUGGGUCGCCUCAGACAAGAAACUAAUUAAGAUCAGAAGAGCUCCUCUGUUGUUGUGGUUCACCAUAUGUGAAGGUCUUUAAUAUAGGUCGCCAGAAGUUGCUUUAUGUUGAGUUUAAGAAGUGUAUAUGUGAUUAGAUAUUGCUAAGUUCUUUGGUUGAAUUGGUUUGUAGUGGUGUGGUUGUGUCAUGCUAGCUUCUUCUGCAGCAAGGAGCAUGUAAACGCGUGUCAUGUGAUCAGAUUCAGAAAUAAAUCUUGCAAACUUGUUAUGUUUA
rnacentral:lncRNA from 1 species